GGGGUAGUGCCUUAGUGGUAGAGUUCUCACCUAGCGUGAAUGAGGCACUGGGUUCGAUUCUCAGCACCACA
rnacentral:tRNA from 1 species